rnacentral:lncRNA from 1 species
AAACUUAACUUUUUUAUAAUAAUCGAUUGUUUUACAUAGGUAUCAGAUCAGAAAGUCUUAAUUAAUUUUAAAUAUAAUCAUACCCGUGUCUUCAUUUCAUUUUUUUGCAAUUAAUUUAAGUUAGCGUAUUCAAUCAACAUAUCAUAAAGUCUUAGCGCGAGUGUACUGAUGAACAGAAGUGUUGAAUAUAAUUAUAUAGAAGUAGUUUAAGCUUUCAGAGUAACAGAGCAUCUCUUCGGAUUACUUAAACGGGCCAUAAAUUAUUAACUAUCACA